rnacentral:piRNA from 1 species
UUUGUGCUGUCUGUAUGCACUUGGGCGU